GUAACGCGGGGGCAACCCUGGCGACGAGUGGCGAACGGGUGAGUAAUACAUCGGAACAUGUCCUGGAGUGGGGGAUAGCUCGGCGAAAGCCGGAUUAAUACCGCAUACGCUCUGAGGAGGAAAGCGGGGGACCCGCAAGGGCCUCGCGCUGCAGGAGUGGCCGAUGUCGGAUUAGCUAGUUGGUGAGGUAAAGGCUCACCAAGGCGACGAUCCGUAGCUGGUCUGAGAGGAUGAUCAGCCACACUGGGACUGAGACACGGCCCAGACUCCUACGGGAGGCAGCAGUGAGGAAUAUUGGACAAUGGGCGCAAGCCUGAUCCAGCCAUGCCGCGUGCAGGAUGACGGUCCUAUGGAUUGUAAACUGCUUUUGCACAGGAAGAAACAACGCUACGUGUAGCGUCUUGACGGUACUGUGAGAAUAAGGAUCGGCUAACUCCGUGCCAGCAGCCGCGGUAAUACGGAGGAUCCAAGCGUUAUCCGGAAUCAUUGGGUUUAAAGGGUCCGUAGGCGGUUUAGUAAGUCAGUGGUGAAAGCCCAUCGCUCAACGGUGGAACGGCCAUUGAUACUGCUAGACUUGAAUUAUUAGGAAGUAACUAGAAUAUGUAGUGUAGCGGUGAAAUGCUUAGAGAUUACAUGGAAUACCAAUUGCGAAGGGCAGGUUACUACUAAUUGGAUUGACGGCUGAUGGACGAAAAGCGUGGGGUAGCGAACAGGAUUAGAUACCCUGGUAGUCCACGCCGUAACGAUGAAUG
rnacentral:rRNA from 1 species